rnacentral:lncRNA from 1 species
GGUUUGGAUCUAGAUCUUAUUGUUUUUGACUCUACCAUCUCCAUUUACAAUUAUACUUACCUACCAAUCCUACUAGAAGCUGUGUGUGAACUUGUAGAAUUUUUGAACUUGUUAUUGGACCUAUAAUUUUAAUCAACAAAGUGGUUGGUUUCAAAUAAAAGUAUACUUCAGCUUGUGGCCAAGUUUGGAUGAUGCAAGUAUUUGAUCUAGAUAUUAUAAUGUGGAUAGAUUUUUUUUUUUUUCAUUCCUGGCAACACUUAUGAAAUUUAGGAUUUAACAAUUUUCUAAGAAAAUCGAGGUGCCGAGGAUUCCUCUUGUCUUAAAACCACUACUAGUUUAAUAGAA